rnacentral:rRNA from 1 species
GACGAACGCUGGCGGCGGGCUUAACACAUGCAAGUCGAACGGAAAGGCCCUGCUUUUGUGGGGUGCUCGAGUGGCGAACGGGUGAGUAACACGUGAGUAACCUGCCCUUGACUUUGGGAUAACUUCAGGAAACUGGGGCUAAUACCGGAUAGGAGCUCCUGCUGCAUGGUGGGGGUUGGAAAGUUUCGGCGGGUGGGGAUGGACUCGCGGCUGAUCAGCUUGUUGGUGGGGUAGUGGCUUACCAAGGCUUUGACGGGUAGCCGGCCUGAGAGGGUGACCGGCCACAUUGGGACUGAGAUACGGCCCAGACUCCUACGGGAGGCAGCAGUGGGGAAUAUUGCACAAUGGGCGGAAGCCUGAUGCAGCAACGCCGCGUGCGGGAUGACGGCCUUCGGGUUGUAAACCGCUUUCGCCUGUGACGACGCGUGAGUGACGGUAAUGGGUAAAGAAGCACCGGCUAACUACGUG